ensembl:lncRNA
AGGAGGGGAAAGGGUGGACAAAAACGACUGUUCCUGUAUUCUUUGAGCUAAAAUCUUCUUCCAAGACUGGGAUAGAGACUUGGCAAAACAUUCAAAGGACUCUGACUUUCGGGGAGUGAGCAGUAUCUGAGAGGCCCUCACAGGUCUGCCCUUGGCUCAAUUUCAUGUUUGCAGGAGGAGCCAUACAGCUCCAAUCCAAAGUCCUGCCCGAUAACAGAUGCUGGGAGUCAACCCAGAAUUCUUCAUUAACAGUGCAAAUUAGCAAGAAGGAAAAUAAACAGAUACCCGGAUGCUUUAUGUCUACCCCCAACUGUAAUAAUCCCUUAAUCACAACAGCACUUUGCUUACAAAGGACAAUGCCCUACAUCUAAUUCCCAUCAUCCCAUCUUGGUGAGGGAAGAUGAAAUGGUCAGGCAUGGGAUAUGAAUCCCCAGUUCACAGAAGAAGAAACAGACUCAGAAAAGUAAUUCAGCCUUAAUUAGGCUUCCAGGCCCAGACUUGUCCUUGUUCCCCCAACGCCUGACCUUGUAAGACACCAGGUGAAUAAAGGAAUUGUAAAGAGGCCUGAGCCCCAUGUGUGGGCGCAUGGAGCUUUCUGUCCAAGGUGCUGUUUCUGGGUCACAAGGUGUAGAACCAAUUCUUAGGAAAUGAAAACCCCCAAAGCAUUUGCUAGUGAUGCUGUUCUGGUGCCUGUUUGUGUCACAACCAACUCACCCAACUUGAAAUUCCAUUUUCCCUGAAAGAACUGCAGUUGAUAGCUGUUCAUUUAUGUUAACAAUGGAUGAAUCACUGCUACACAAUUUUUUUUCAACUUUCUAUGCAUUUGAAUAUUUUCAUAAUAUGACAUCAGGGGAAAUCUCAUUUUUAUUUUAUGUUUGAAUUUUCAAAUAAAAGUGAUGAGUUGGCUUGACUUUCUUCCCUUCUUCCGCUCAUCAUUCAACAUGUAUUUAUUGAGCAAUGUACCCGGUGCUGGAAAUACAGUAGUGAACCCAACGGGCAUGAACUCUGACAUCAUGAUGAAGACUGAAAGUGCACAAAUGAACACAUUUGAAAAUGUAAUGAUAUCUCUUUGUAAGUGCCUAGAAGAAAAGUGCUAUGGUAGAGAAAAAUUAAUAGGAGGAUCUGUAUUCAAGAUGGGAAAGAGGGCCAGGAAGAAAAGGCAUGAGGAGCAAAGAUUUGGAGACAGGCAAUACUGUCGGGAGACUCCUAACGGGGCUGCAAAACCAAGAAGCAUACACGGCAAACAGCCUGGAAGAGGCUUCCAUUGCGAGCCUCAGCUUUGCCAUCGGUGAAGCUGGAGAGUGAUAAACCAACAGCACUAGGCUUCCCUACUUGCUCCAUGCUGAGGAAUCCGCCUGCAGUGCAGGAGACCUGGGUUCAAUCCCCUGGUCAGGAAGAUCCCCUGGAGAAGGCAAUGGCAACCCAUUCCAGUACUCUUGCCUNNNNNNNNNNNNNNNNNNNNNNNNNNNNNNNNNNNNNNNNNNNNNNNNNNNNNNNNNNNNNNNNNNNNNNNNNNNNNNNNNNNNNNNNNNNNNNNNNNNAGAUCCCCUGGAGAAGGCAAUGGCAACCCAUUCCAGUACUCUUGCCUGGGGCAUCCCACGAACAGAGGAGCCUGGUGGGCUACAGUCCACAGGGUUGCAAAAGAGUAGGACAAGACUUAGAAAAUAAACAGCAACCAACCAACAUCCCGGGAUAUUUGAGAGAAUGAUCCGGUUCCAGCCCAAUGAAUGGAAAUCCUAACCCAAGGUGUGCAAAUCUGCCUCUAUCAUGUUGCCAGAUAUGUUCCAUUAUAAUGUCUUGCUGGUCUUCAUCAGUGGUGGCUGGAGCCACUUGCUUUGGGUUCCUCCUGUCACUGAUGUAUUAAACCGUCUGUCAACAAACACUUGAGAGGCGGGACUGCUAAAGGACACUGCAGAGCUUCAGUCCAGGCUCGCUUUCCAAUUUGUUGUUGAGCUUCCUGGUGCUGAUGGCAGGGGUCCAGCUCACAUAAUAAACAAGGUUGACUUUUGUAUGUAGGGAAAAAGUUUUUCCUUUUUUCAUAUCACUCCCUGCCACCAUAUUUGGGAGACAUUUUGAAAACCUAAAGGAUGGAAUAAGCAUGGACAGAACAUUUUAUCAACUGCAAAGCAGCGUUUCUCAACUGCAUGACUUCUGGAUACCCUUCCCCUCUCUCACACUUUAUAGAAUCACAGAAUCUUGGGUGGAUGGUAUUACAAAUACAUGAAUACUUUCUUGUUUUCUAAGAGUUAAAUUAUAUUUUAUAUCAUGGGCUAUAGUCUGUUAAAAAAAAUCCUUGAUGAAACUUAUUAGAAGGCCUAAUAACCCUGACUGUUUUUAUUUUCACUGCUGCAUGUACAACACCUAGAAAUGUGCCUAAGCACAUAGAAAGCAAUAAUUAACUACAGGUUUGAUGAAUUAAUUAAUGAAUCCCAUUUUAUAGAUGGGGCAACAGAGGCUUGGUAAGGUUCAGUGACUUUUCCAAGUUCAUGCUAGUGUUAAAUAGCAGGGCCAGGACUAAAAAUCAGAUCUUCAGAAGCCUCAUUUAGGAUUUUUCUUGGGAUGCUACCCUUAUUUUUAUGGUAUAAUUACAAACUCAGAAAUAAUAUGAAACAUAUUAUACAUCUGAAAUAGCUGAAAUGACUAUCCUAAUUGCCUAUUUUUAUAAUGGGUUGGAAGAAAAGUUAUGACCAACCUAGAUAGCAUAUUCAAAAGCAGAG